CAAAAAGGAGAAUGUGAAAAGAGAAAUUUGCAACAUGUUUUCUUUGUUUUUUUGCAUAAUUCUGACAUUUAUAAGCAUUGAAGUAAAGGGUAUAAACAUUACAGAACUCACGUCUAUAGUUAGCUUUUGUUUUUUAGAUCGUAGAGAGAUAAAAAGUAUAGGUUUGGUUCUUUUGUGUUCGGUUAUAAAUCAACCCCGAAUCUUUUCAAAACUUUGUUCCUUGACGAUUCAGGAAGUAAAAAUGCUAUCCCCACUAAAUUCGACCACUUGACAGUCUUUACAAGAAGUGUUGCCAUUGGUCUAUAGUCAAUUGAUAUCGCUUGACAGCUUUCCCUUUUCUUUGGUCUAGCCAAGCGAAGGUAAUGGGCUACUGCUCUUAUUGAAUUGAUCACGUGGACGAGAUUAGCUAACAGGAUGAAAAAUCGUGUAGUGAAAAAGUUAAGAGAAGUCAAGACAUGUUGCACUUAAUACAACUAUAAAAGUCUUGUUUAAUAUUACAGAGAUAGUUUUGGAAAGAUUAACUCCAGAAAUUGAGCCCUAGAAAUGUGUAAGAAGUAAGUUUAUGGUAAGUGGAAAAAUGGCCAAACUUGUUGAUUUACUUUAACAAAUUCUCCACUGAUAGAAAAAUUAAAUUACAGGACUAAUUUCUAAUUUAACUUAAACAUAAAUAUUUAAUAGCAGAUAUUAAAAUGAAUUAUUAAUCAUCCAAAUUUUAGCGAAUUAUAUCUCCUAUAUGAUUAAAAUUGUUUAGAAAUUAAUGGCAAAAUAUAAGAACAAUACAUCCGCCAUUAAAAUUUCUUCAAAUAACCGCUUAAAACAGUAAAAACGUUUAAACUAAUGUAUAUAUAGAUCGAUGCUCAGAUCAAUUUUCGAAAGCACUUACCAUUAAAGAGAAAUGAGCGAAAAUUGAUUCGGGCUCUUAUGCUAGUAAUCCGUUCAGGCGAUUAGAUCCUAAACCUAAUCGGAUCUUGACUGUUCCAUAAACAUAUUAAAUAUUAAAUUUCAUGUCGUUUUGAAUAUAAGUUUUGAAUUACCUAUAAAUUCCUAUCACACAGACAUACAGACAUCGUUUUAGAACUUGACAAAACGUGUUCAGAAAUUUUAAAAAGUAAAUAUCCAACGAAAUUGGAAAUGCAAG
rnacentral:lncRNA from 1 species